AACGAACGCUGGCGGCAGGCUUAACACAUGCAAGUCGAGCGAAGACUUCGGUCUUAGCGGCAGACGGGAGAGUAACACGUGGGAACGCGCCCUUCGGUUCGGGAUAACCCAGGGAAACUUGGGCUAAUACCGGAUACGCCCUUACGGGGAAAGAUUUAUUGCCGAAGGAACGGCCCGCGUCCGAUUAGCUAGUUGGUGAGGUAAUGGCUCACCAAGGCGACGAUCGGUAGCUGGUCUGAGAGGAUGACCAGCCUCACUGGGACUGAGACACGGCCCAGACUCCUACGGGAGGCAGCAGUGGGGAAUAUUGGACAAUGGGCGCAAGCCUGAUCCAGCCAUGCCGCGUGGGUGAUGAAGGCCCUAGGGUUGUAAAGCCCUUUCAGCGGGGAAGAUAAUGACGGUACCCGCAGAAGAAGCCCCGGCUAACUUCGUGCCAGCCGCCGCAGUAAAAC
rnacentral:rRNA from 1 species